rnacentral:rRNA from 1 species
UACGUGCAAGUCGAACGGUGUAGCAAUACACAGUGGCGCACGGGUGCGUAACACGUAUGCAACCUACCUUACAUUGGGGGAUAGCCUUUCGAAAGGGAGAUUAAUACCGCGUAAGACAGUAACUAGGCAUCUAGUAGCUGUUAAAGAUUUAUCGAUGUAAGCUGGGCAUGCGUCCAAUUAGUUAGUUGGCGAGGUAAUGGCUCACCAAGACGAUGAUUGGUAGGGGAACUGAGAGGUCAAUCCCCCACACUGGCACUGAGAUACGGGCCAGACUCCUACGGGAGGCAGCAGUAGGGAAUAUUGGGCAAUGGGCGCGAGCCUGGCCCAGCCAUGCCGCGUGCAGGAAGAAGGCGUUAUGCGUUGUAAACUGCUUUUAUACAGGAAGAAACGACCCUUGCGAGGGGCAUUGACGGUACUGUAUGAAUAAGCACCGGCUAACUCCGUGCCAGCAGCCGCGGUAAUACGGAGGGUGCAAGCGUUGUCCGGAUUUAUUGGGUUUAAAGGGUGCGCAGGUGGUUUAUUAAGUCAGUGGUGAAAGACGGUCGCUCAACGAUUGCAGUGCCAUUGAUACUGGUAGACUUGAGUAAAGUAGAGGUGGGCGGAAUUGAUAGUGUAGCGGUGAAAUGCAUAGAUAUUAUCAAGAACUCCAAUUGCGUAGGCAGCUCACUUGGCUUUUACUGACACUCAUGCACGAAAGUGUGGGUAUCAAACAGGAUUAGAUACCCUGGUAGUCCACACUGUAAACGAUGAUAACUAG